rnacentral:rRNA from 1 species
UACGUAGGGUGCGAGCGUUGUCCGGAAUUAUUGGGCGUAAAGAGCUCGUAGGCGGUCUGUCGCGUCGAAUGUGAAAACCCGGGGCUCAACUCCGGGCUUGCAUUCGAUACGGGCAGGCUAGAGUCCGGUAGGGGAGUCUGGAAUUCCUGGUGUAGCGGUGAAAUGCGCAGAUAUCAGGAGGAACACCGGUGGCGAAGGCGGGACUCUGGGCCGAUACUGACGCUGAGGAGCGAAAGCGUGGGGAGCGAACAGG